rnacentral:tRNA from 1 species
GGGGUUGGGGCUCAGAGGUAGAGUGCUCGCCUAGUGCGUGCGAGACUCUGGGUUCGAUCCUCAGCACCACA